AACCCAUGGUGAGGGCAUCUUCUCAAUAAAUCCUUAUACCUCUCUUAUGCACCAUAUAGAAUCUCUAAAUCCAUUUGCACGAAGGAGAGAUAUCACUCAUCAGCUU
rnacentral:snoRNA from 1 species